CCGCUCGGCGGCCGCCGGGUGGGAACUGACAUCGGUACCUGAUACGGCCGGUGCAG
rfam:Streptomyces sp. CB01249 scaffold2, whole genome shotgun sequence.